GACGAACGCUGGCGGCGUGCUUAACACAUGCAAGUCGAGCGGUAAGGCCCUUUCGGGGGUACACGAACGGCGAACGGGUGAGUAACACGUGGGUGACCUGCCUUUAGCUCUGGGAUAAGCCUGGGAAACUGGGUCUAAUACCGGAUACGACUCCGCGGUGCAUGCUGUGGGGUGGAAAGCCUUGUGCGGCUGGAGAUGGGCCCGCGGCCUAUCAGCUUGUUGGUGGGGUGAUGGCCUACCAAGGCGACGACGGGUAGCCGGCCUGAGAGGGCGACCGGCCACACUGGGACUGAGACACGGCCCAGACUCCUACGGGAGGCAGCAGUGGGGAAUCUUGCGCAAUGGGCGAAAGCCUGACGCAGCGACGCCGCGUGAGGGAUGACGGCCUCGGUUGUAA
rnacentral:rRNA from 1 species